rnacentral:rRNA from 1 species
AUAUUGGUCAAUGGCCGAGAGGCUGAACCAGCCAAGUCGCGUGAAGGAAGAAGGAUCUAUGGUUUGUAAACUUCUUUUAUAGGGGAAUAAAGUGGAGGACGUGUCCUUUUUUGUAUGUACCCUAUGAAUAAGCAUCGGCUAACUCCGUGCCAGCAGCCGCGGUAAUACGGAGGAUGCGAGCGUUAUCCGGAUUUAUUGGGUUUAAAGGGUGCGUAGGUGGUGAUUUAAGUCAGCGGUGAAAGUUUGUGGCUCAACCAUAAAAUUGCCGUUGAAACUGGGUUACUUGAGUGUGUUUGAGGUAGGCGGAAUGCGUGGUGUAGCGGUGAAAUGCAUAGAUAUCACGCAGAACUCCGAUUGCGAAGGCAGCUUACUAAACCAUAACUGACACUGAAGCACGAAAGCGUGGGGAUCAAACAGGAUUAGAUACCCUGGUAGUCCACGCAGUAAACGAUGAUUACUAGGAGUUUGCGAUACAAUGUAAGCUCUACAGCGAAAGCGUUAAGUAAUCCACCUGGGGAGUACGCCGGCAACGGUGAAACUCAAAGGAAUUGACGGGGGCCCGCACAAGCGGAGGAACAUGUGGUUUAAUUCGAUGAUACGCGAGGAACCUUACCCGGGCUUGAAUUGCAGAGGAAGGAUUUGGAGACAAUGACGCCCUUCGGGGCCUCUGUGAAGGUGCUGCAUGGUUGUCGUCAGCUCGUGCCGUGAGGUGUCGGCUUAAGUGCCAUAACGAGCGCAACCCCUCUCCUUAGUUGCCAUCAGGUCAAGCUGGGCACUCUGGGGACACUGCCACCGUAAGGUGUGAGGAAGGUGGGGAUGACGUCAAAUCAGCACGGCCCUUACGUCCGGGGCGACACACGUGUUACAAUGGCAGGUACAGAAGGCAGCCAGUCAGCAAUGACGCGCGAAUCCCGAAAACCUGUCUCAGUUCGGAUUGGAGUCUGCAACCCGACUCCAUGAAGCUGGAUUCGCUAGUAAUCGCGCAUCAGCCAUGGCGCGGUGAAUACGUUCCCGGGCCUUGUACACACCGCCCGUCAAGCCAUGGGAGCCGGGGGUACCUGAAGUGCGUAACCGCGAGGAGCGCCCUAGGGUAAAACUGGUGACUGGGGCUAAGUCGUAACAAGGUAGCCGUACCGGAAGGUGCGGCUG